rnacentral:rRNA from 1 species
ACGGGAGGCAGCAGUGGGGAAUAUUGGGCAAUGGGGGGAACCCUGACCCAGCAACGCCGCGUGGAGGAAGAAGGUCUUCGGAUCGUAAACUCCUGUCCUCAAAGACGAGAAGAAGACGGUAUUUGAGGAGGAAGCCCCGGCUAACUACGUGCCAGCAGCCGCGGUAAUACGUAGGGGGCAAGCGUUGUCCGGAAUGAUUGGGCGUAAAGGGCGCGUAGGCGGCUCUUUAAGUCUGGAGUGAAAGUCCUGCUUUUAAGGUGGGAAUUGCUUUGGAUACUGAAGGGCUUGAGUGCAGGAGAGGUUAGUGGAAUUCCCAGUGUAGCGGUGAAAUGCGUAGAUAUUAGGAGGAACACCAGUGGCGAAGGCGGCUUACUGGACUGUAACUGACGUUGAGGCUCAAAAGCGUGGGGAGCAAACAGGAUUAGAUACCCUGGUA